rnacentral:lncRNA from 1 species
AAGGGGGGGGGGCGCCAACCCAGACAGGAAGACCACGUCAGUGACUCAACCCACUCAAGUGACGCACCCCUCCUAGGGACGGCAUGGAAGAGCACCAGUAAGCCAGUGACUCAACCCCUGUAAUAGGGUUAGAGGCAGAGAAUCCCAGUGGAGAGAGGGGAACCGGCUAGGCAGAGACAGCAAGGGCAGUUCGUUGCUCCAGUGCCUUUCCGUUCACCUUCACUCUCCUGGGCCAGACUACACGGGUCGGGGACCCUUGGUCUUGUUGUUCCAUCUCCAAGUAUGUGUACUCGGUGGAAAGCCACCUUGUUUACAGUCUCUAUAGGACGUUUCAAGGAGGAUUGCAUGAAUUCUCUGAUCGUGCCCUCUGGAUUAUUGGAUGCGUCCUCAUGAAUCCCAGAUUUUUUUUUUCACGCAUUCUAUAACUUUGUAUGUCUAGUAGCGACUCCUUCAUCAUCCUAUUAACCCUGAAUAGACAAUCCAUAUUGGAAUCGUGGAUUUUUACCUUGGCUGUGAGUGCCUUGUUUUCUCCUUGGAGCGUGAGAAUUUCACUCUGGCUAACUCCAAACACUCCCUCAGCCCUGCUACCUCCUCACACAACUUUUCCAGUGUUGCAUGGAUUCCAGCCAGAGCACUGGCCUCUACUUCAACGGACAAUGACCCAACACACUUCCAGGCUGUGCAAGGGCUAUUUGACCAAGAAGCAGAGUGAUGGAGUACGGCAUCAGAGGACCUGGCCUCCACAAUCACCCAACCUCAACCCAUGUUGAGAUGGUCUGGAAUGAGUUGGACCACAGAGUAAAGAAAAAGCAGACAACAAGUGCUCAACAUAUGUGGGAACUCCUUCAAUACUGUUGUAAAAGCAUUCAAGGUGAAGCUGAUUGAGAGAAUGCCAAGAGCGUGCAAAUCUGUCAUCAAGACAAAGGGUGGCUACUUUGAAGAAUCUCAAUGAUAAAAUAAAAUUUGAGAGUUAGAUGAGGACGAGGAAGAGGACAAGAACAAGGAGGAUGAGCAGGAGGACGAGGAGGGGGAAGAGGACGAGGAGUGGGACAAGGAAGAGGAGGAAGGAGAACAAUCACAGAUGAGAUCCGGGCCACUUUGGUUGACCAUGGUUUGAGUUUCAGGGAGGCUGGGCAGAGGGUCCAGCCUAACUUGAGGCUCUACACGGCAGCAAGUGUCAUCCGGACAUUUCAAAAUGAGAACAGAAUUGCUAGACGACCCUUCAAUGGAAGACGAAAUCGGCUGUUCACAGCAGAGCAGGAACAACACAUAGUGAAUGUGGUCAUUUCAAACAACAGCAUACGUGUACAACAACUGUAACACCACAUCAUCACAACAUUAAUUAAG